rnacentral:rRNA from 1 species
AUGUCGAGUUGUGGGGCGCGUCCUGCACCCACUUCUCUUUCAGAGUAUAUUUAUGCAUUUGUCCAUGAUUAGGGAUUAAAUGGUUCUAAACAUGUGGAAAUAGUUAGUUGUAAUAACAAGAAAUUUAGCUCACCGCUUGUGAAACGUUUAAUUAUUCGAAUGUAUCAGCAGAGUUUUUUUGGAUAA